GACCUCAUGACGUUUUCGCGGGGUUAAGGUAAAGUGGAUAGUGAAAGGAGAUAGGAGGGACAAUUCAGAUGCACUGCUGUUGGUACAGGCUAACAGACAUUUUAAUUCAUUUAUAGAAGCAGUCAGUCUACCAAAAGAAAACAAAAUGAGGGAAAUUGUGCCCAUACAGGUCGGUCAAUGCGGGAAUUAGAUUGGUACCAAGAUUUGGCAUCACAUGUUCCAGCAGCUGGAGCGGCUUUGUGUCCCGCUUUGGAGCGAAGCAGGACUUGGAGAGCCAGGUGAACAAGGUGUGCUGUUGGACUCUGCUGGCCUUGGCUGUGAGCAUCCUCACCUACUGCGUUUGGAAGAGAGUGGUUUAGCCAACACUGCCACAAGAACAUGAUGGCUGCCUGCGACCCACGUCACGGCUGCACGACUUGAUGUUCCAACCAAGUGUUUUCCAGUUUUCAGUGUUUUCCAGUUUUUAGUGUUUUCCAGUUUUUAGUGUUUUCCAGUUUUCAGUGUU